UACGUAGGGGGCAAGCGUUGUCCGGAUUUAUUGGGCGUAAAGAGCUCGUAGGCGGUCACCGCAAUUCGGUUGUGAAAUCUCUGGGCUUAACCCAGAAAGGUCAACCGAUACUGCGGGGCUAGAGUGCAGAAGGGGCAACUGGAAUUCUCGGUGUAGCGGUGAAAUGCGUAGAUAUCGAGAGGAACACCUGCGGCGAAGGCGGGUUGCUGGGCUGACACUGACGCUGAUGCGCGAAAGCCAGGGGAGCGAACGGG
rnacentral:rRNA from 1 species